GGCCUCAUAGCUCAGUUGGCUAGAGCAUUGGCUGUACUAAGGCCUUCUCCUUGCUGGUGUUGGUUUGAAUCCUACCGAGACCG
rnacentral:tRNA from 1 species